AUGUUGUUUCCUCAGUGGAGUGCUAUGGUCAUCUGCUUCCAACAUUUGCUGUAUGACACUGGGAUAACAGAACUGGCAGGACAGAGAGAAGAAAUAGCUGAAGCCUAUAGUGGAUGCCAAUCCAGUAGCCCAACAUCCUGCAGACUAAUCAGGAAGGGGAGGAGUAUGGAAUGCCAGGUGCUGAAGUUUCAAAGGAUUUGGGUCUAUUGGCAGAGGGCAAAGUCCCAUGAAGUGACUGAAGAAAAUUCAACAUCUUGGGCCUGUCUUAUUCUCCCAAGGGGAUGUUGACAUCAACCCCCAAGAAACAACCCUGGACUAAGAGGGAAGAGACCUAAGUUUGAGCAUGGAAUCUGCUACUAAAUCACUCUGUGACCUUGGAAAGUCUCUUUCUCCAUUUUGGGCCUAAGACAACCCUCCUGCAAAUGAAGGGACUAGACAAGGUGUUAUCUAGGAUUCCUCCCUCCAUCUCUACCUGUCUUUGGUUCUGAAGCCAUCUUUAACCAGUCUAUCUGGAUUCUCAUCAUCCAAAUACAAAAUAAAGUAGAAUAGGCAUAUAUUCUGUAGGCA
rnacentral:lncRNA from 1 species